UACGUAGGGUGCGAGCGUUGUCCGGAUUUAUUGGGCGUAAAGAGCUCGUAGGCGGCUUGUCGCGUCGGAUGUGAAAGCCCGGGGCUUAACUCCGGGUCUGCAUUCGAUACGGGCAGGCUAGAGUGUGGUAGGGGAGAUCGGAAUUCCUGGUGUAGCGGUGAAAUGCGCAGAUAUCAGGAGGAACACCGGUGGCGAAGGCGGAUCUCUGGGCCAUUACUGACGCUGAGGAGCGAAAGCGUGGGUAGCAAACAGG
rnacentral:rRNA from 1 species